rnacentral:rRNA from 1 species
AGCGAACGCUGGCGGCAGGCCUAAUACAUGCAAGUCGAACGAACCUUUCGGGGUUAGUGGCGGACGGGUGAGUAACACGACGGAAGGUGCACUCAGGUUCGGACUAACUCAGGGAAACUUGUGCUAAUACCGAAUGUGACCUUCGGGGGAAAGAUAAUUCGCACUUAGAGCGGCCGGCGUCGGAUUAGCCAGUUGGUUGAGGUAAUGGUUCACCAACGCGACGAUCAGUAGCUGGUCUGAGAGGAAGAUCAGACACAUUGGGACUGAGACACAGCCCAAACUCCUACGGGAGGCAGCAGUGGGGAAUCUUGCGCAAUGGGCGAAGGCCUGACGCAGCCAUGCCGCGUGAAUGAUGAAAGUCUUAAGAUUGUAAAAUUCUUUCACCGGUGACCAUAAUGACGGUACCCGGUGAAAAAGCCCCGGCUAACUUCGUG